rnacentral:rRNA from 1 species
CAAGGCGACGAUCCCUAGCUGGUCUGAGAGGAUGACCAGCCACACUGGAACUGAGACACGGUCCAGACUCCUACGGGAGGCAGCAGUGGGGAAUAUUGCACAAUGGGCGCAAGCCUGAUGCAGCCAUGCCGCGUGUAUGAAGAAGGCCUUCGGGUUGUAAAGUACUUUCAGCGGGGAGGAAGGUGUUGUGGUUAAUAACCGCAGCAAUUGACGUUACCCGCAGAAGAAGCACCGGCUAACUCCGUGCCAGCAGCCGCGGUAAUACGGAGGGUGCAAGCGUUAAUCGGAAUUACUGGGCGUAAAGCGCACGCAGGCGGUCUGUCAAGUCGGAUGUGAAAUCCCCGGGCUCAACCUGGGAACUGCAUUCGAAACUGGCAGGCUUGAGUCUUGUAGAGGGGGGUAGAAUUCCAGGUGUAGCGGUGAAAUGCGUAGAGAUCUGGAGGAAUACCGGUGGCGAAGGCGGCCCCCUGGACAAAGAC